rnacentral:tRNA from 47 species
GGGCGCAUAGCUCAGCGGUAGAGCACUAUCUUGACAUGGUAGGGGUCACAGGUUCAAUCCCUGUUGCGCCCACCA